UACGGAGGGGGCUAGCGUUGUUCGGAAUUACUGGGCGUAAAGCGCACGUAGGCGGAUUGGAAAGUUGGGGGUGAAAUCCCGGGGCUCAACCCCGGAACUGCCUUCAAAACUCCCAGUCUGGAGGUCGAGAGAGGUGAGUGGAAUUCCGAGUGUAGAGGUGAAAUUCGUAGAUAUUCGGAGGAACACCAGUGGCGAAAGGCGGCUCACUGGCUCGAUACUGACGCUGAGGUGCGAAAGCGUGGGGAGCAAACAGG
rnacentral:rRNA from 1 species